GACGAACGCUGGCGGCGUGCUUAACACAUGCAAGUCGAACGGAAAGGCCUCUUUCGGGGGGUACUCGAGUGGCGAACGGGUGAGUAACACGUGAGUAACCUGCCCUUGACUUUGGGAUAACUUCAGGAAACUGGGGCUAAUACCGGAUAGGAGCUCCUGCUGCAUGGUGGGGGUUGGAAAGUUUCGGCGGUUGGGGAUGGACUCGCGGCUUAUCAGCUUGUUGGUGGGGUAGUGGCUUACCAAGGCUUUGACGGGUAGCCGGCCUGAGAGGGUGACCGGCCACAUUGGGACUGAGAUACGGCCCAGACGCCUACGGGAGGCAGCAGUGGGGAAGAUUGCACAAGGGGUGGAAGCCUGAUGCAGCAACGCCGUGUGCGGGAUGACGGCCUUCGGGUUGUAAACCGCUUUCGCUCAUGACGAAGCUUUGUGUGACGGUAGUGGGUAAAGAAGCACCGGCUAACUACGUG
rnacentral:rRNA from 1 species